UGCAGCCUUGUCAAAUUCAGUGUGUUCUUCUCAGUGGACUUCACUGGCCAAAAUGGCUGCCACAGAAACUGUAGCUCAUGGGCCCCGCCUCCUUACACAGGGGGGCAGUGGGGAUAAUUAUGUUCUACAGACAAAU